rnacentral:lncRNA from 1 species
AUAAUUCCGUCGUAAAGCUAAAUUGCAGACGGAUAAAAUAAAAAAAAAGAAAGAGAACGCAAAACGAAAUUGGUCUGUCUAACAAUGUCAUACGUCAUGUCGGUUGCUUUAUUGGCAAUAAUCACAGGAUUUUAAUCUGAGGAUAUUCAAGUCGAAUCAAUCAGGACAUAUUAAUAUGUAAAUGAUUGUGACACAAUCCGCGCUACAUGACGAUCGAUUGUAUGAGGCACAUAUCCUUGAUUCCAAUGUCUGGUACCAGGUGCUCCGUCAUUGUUUCCUUUGCAAUCUCCUGGAUGAGAGGAGACAAUGGAACAUUGUCGGAAGAUAAAGGUUAUAUCGUUUCAUUAUGUGCAGUAUAUUCGCUAGUAGACACGCCGAAAUUUCUGCUUUUAAACUGGUUAUGUAUCAUUAAGACGAUUUGCUUUUAUCAAAAGAAUAACAUGUUUCCAUACUGAUUCUUUUGUCAUCUUUUUUCUGGUGCUUUAAAAGAGCUGCACGAAAUUUUCGAG